AACCCUGUAGUAUACAUAUUUUUAAUACGAUAAACUGCAACUUUAUUAAAGCUCUUGAGCCAGGGUUU
rnacentral:tRNA from 1 species